UACGUAGGGUGCGAGCGUUGUCCGGAAUUACUGGGCGUAAAGAGCUCGUAGGUGGUUUGUCGCGUUGUUCGUGAAAACCGGGGGCUUAACCCUCGGCGUGCGGGCGAUACGGGCAAGACUUGAGUACUUGCAGGGGAGACUGGAAUUCCUGGUGUAGCGGUGGAAUGCGCAGAUAUCAGGAAGAACACCCGUGGCGAAGGCGGCUCUCUGGGACGGUACUGACGCUGAGACGCGAAAGCGUGGGGAGCGAACAGG
rnacentral:rRNA from 1 species